GAAGCAGGCCAGGCAGUCGCGUCAUCCCCGUCAAACGGGAUGCCGAGGAAAGUCCGGGCUCCGCAGGGCAAGGUGCCAGGUAACGCCUGGGCGGCGCGAGCCGACGGAAAGUGCAACAGAAAGAUACCGCCUACGUUCCCCUCGGGGAGCCGGUAAGGGUGAAAUGGUGCGGUAAGAGCGCACCGCGAGUCUGGCAACAGACCGGCACGGCAAACCCCACCUGGAGCAAGACCAAAUAGGGUCCUCAUGGCGCGGCCCGCGUCGGGACCGGGUAGGUUGCUUGAGCGUCACGGUGACGUGGCGCCUAGAAGAAUGACUGUCCACGACAAAACCCGGCUUAUCGGCCUGCUUCGUCG
rfam:Stenotrophomonas sp. BIIR7 sctg_0033_0001, whole genome shotgun sequence.